rfam:Triticum aestivum genome assembly, contig: Triticum_aestivum_CS42_TGACv1_scaffold_030810_1BL
AUUCUACUCCCUCCGUUCCACAAUACAUGCCUUCUAUUUGUCAAAAUAUAGAUGUAUCUAGACAUGUUUUAGUAUCUAGGUACAUCGGUUUUUGGACAAAUGGAAGUCAAGUAUUUUGGAACGGAGGGAGUACACA